GGCACAUCGAGCCACUGACCUGCAAUAGCAACCUCAGAUACAUUAUACAGAUACUUGAUGUAAUUCUGCCAAUAUAUACACAUUCAUUUUCCAUUCUGCUGGUAUUUUAAAAAGCUGAAUUCCCACGAAUGCCAGAUUUUAGAUGGCAUUCAAGACUAAUAUUUUAGCAGACACCAAUUUUUUUCUGAUCUUGACCUCAAAAUACACUUAGUUAAUGCAUAGCUGUCCCUAUUUAGGAUGGACAGUCACUAUUUGGAGCCUAAAUCCCAUUGUCUCUAUUUUCCAUCCUACUGCCUCUCUCUUCUAGUUGGUGUGUCUAGGUAAAACAGAUACAUGUUCUGCUAAAUUCAAUUUUAGUUGUAUACAUUUUUCACACCGACACUCAUACACCUAUAAUUAAAGUAUCCCUUUUUUCCAGAAGAUAAU